rnacentral:rRNA from 1 species
GGAUGUGAUGGGGAGCGAAAUUUAGUAGCGAAGUAGCUGAUUUCACACUGUCAAGAAAAGUCUCUAUCGAGGUUAAAGGUACCCGUACCGCAAACCGACACAGGUGGGUGAGGAGAGUAUCCUAAGGCCAGCGAGAGAACUGUUGUUAAGGAACUCGGCAAAAUGACCCCGUAACUUAGGGAUAAGGGGUGCCACCAUCAGGUGGCCGCAGAGAAUAGGCUCAAGCGACUGUUUACCAAAAACAUAGGUUUCUGCUAAGUCGCAAGACGAUGUAUAGGAGCUGACGCCUGCCCGGUGCUGGAAGGUUAAGGGGAUCUGUUAGAGCAA